rnacentral:snRNA from 1 species
GGAUGUGAGGGCGAUCUGGCUGCGACAUCUGUCACCCCAUUGAUCGCCAGGGUUGAUUCGGCUGAUCUGGCUGGCUAGACGGUGUCCCCUUCCUCCCUCACCGCUCCAUGUGCGUCCCUCCCGAAGCUGCGCGCUCGGUCGAAGAGGACGACCAUCCCCAAUAGAGGAGGACCGUUCUUCGGUCAAGGGUGUACGAGUAGCUGCGCUCCCCUGCUAGAACCUCCAAACAAGCUCUCAAGACACAACUAUAAAUGUACUGAUUCUUCCCCAGAAAAGGAGGUAAACUGCUGCGUGAUGUUCACUCUUGUA